UACGUAGGUGGCGAGCGUUGUUCGGAUUUAUUGGGCGUAAAGGGUCUGUAGGAGGUUUGUUAAAUACGGGGUGAAAUCCGGGAGCUCAACUCCCGAACUGCCCUGUAGACUGACAGACUGGAGUACCGGAGAGGUAAGCGGAAUACCAAGUGUAGCGGUGGAAUGCGUAGAUAUUUGGUAGAACACCAAGAGCGAAGGCAGCUUACUGGCCGGCAACUGACUCUGAAAGACGAAAGCAUGGGGAGCAAACAGG
rnacentral:rRNA from 1 species